UUCUGGACAUCCUCUGCAUGGCAGGCUCGUUGCAUGUAUGUGCGGCCAACUGUCAUGGGGUUGUCUCUUCAUUGUCCCUCGAAUCUUCUUUUGUGAGGUCGGAUGAUUCUAAUCGGUUGCCUGUGUGGAUCUAACUUCGUGGUAGUACAAUUGUUGUUUUCUCGGAUGUUAGCUUUGUCGUGCUGACAAUUUUCUGUUGGUAGGAUGGCAUGACAGUUGGCGAAUUCCAUAUGUUUCCGUUGUUUAUGGCUCGGUAGUGCAUGUGGUCGUUUGUCGGAUCUCAUUGAUGUUGUGCACAUUGUGACCUCUGUGGGCUUCGGGUCUGCAGAUCUCGGGAGGUCUACACUCUUGUGUGGGGAUCACUGCUUUGUCACUCGAUAGACAUGUCAAAUUUUAUUUUGGCUUGUUGGUUUGUCUUGUGUGGAACCUCUUCUUGUGGAAAAUCAAUGCGGUUGCUGGUAUAAGUUGUUGAUUGCGUCUUCCUGUUCGGGUUGGUGCUUGA
rnacentral:misc_RNA from 1 species